AAACCAAGCUUUGAUGAACUAUUUCAUCUUUACAUGAGCCUCAACCCUAUGCUAUUGGCUUCUCAAUGGAUGGUCGAGCAGCCGUACUUUUCAGUACCCGACUUGGGUUGAAUUUCAUCAUUCAGCCAUUUCAAAACAUCUAACCAAGCCCCAGAUGAGAAAAAUACAUGAAAGCCUCAUCAAUUCAAACUAAAAUGCUGUA
rnacentral:misc_RNA from 1 species